CCUCCCUCCUUUCCCACGCCCCCAGGGGGGCCCCGACUCCCCACUGGCUUCUGGCCCACAUGCGCCCCUCCCCCACCAUGGCCUCUACCUUUCCAGCCAUCCUUGUAUUCAGUCCACACAUAGUCAUGGUGUAAAUCAUCUUAGAGCCGUGGGUGGUCCAUCCAUGCAGAAGCGUAUGACUCGGGCCAUAAAAAGGAGUGAGGUGCUGACACUCUACCACGCGGGUGAACCCAGAAAACACACUGCGCGAAGUAAGCCAGACACAAAGGUCACGUCUCGUCUGAUUCCAUUGACGAGAAAUGUCCAGAACAGUUUCCUAGCCAUCCAGCUUUCUCCUUCCUCGAGCUGCCUGUGUGGACCCCCCAGAAACACUCUGCACAUUGGAGCAAAUCUCUCCAUCUGUAUCGUAAGACUUGGAAGCAACCCAGACGUCCUUCGGUGGGUGAAUGGAUAAACCAUGGGACAUCCAGACGAGGGAAUGUUAUUCAGCGCUAAAAAGGGAGGAGCUCUCCAGCUGUGAAAAGACACAGAGGAGCCUCAAAUGCAUGUCGCUAAGCGAGAGAAGCCAGUCUGAAAAGGCUACACACUGUAUGAUUCCAACUCGAUGACGUUCUGGAAAAGGCAAAAGCACGCAGACACCACCAUUCCACCAAAACCCUCUUGCUGGUCUCACCGGGGACCUCCAUAUUGCAAACUGCCAAGGACAACGGAUACAUGUCUGGCCUGGCCUGCCUUGCGUGAGUUCUGUGCAGCAUUCAACACUGCGUACUCCACCUGCCUUCUCCGAGGCCCUCCAGGUGCCUUUCCUACCUGCUGCCCAGUCCUGCCCAGUCUACUUGAAGGGUUCUUUUUCCUCCACUUUUGGCCUUUGAUAUGCCCGUUUGACACACUCCCGGGUGCCCUUGUCCAAUUCCAUGGCUCCAACGACAACAAAGAAGCCCAGGUCUUCUCAGCAACAACCUAUGUAUCCCAACCACGUAACUAGUUUGCUCUUCUUGGAGUAAAGACAUUUCAAACAAAGCCAGAGUGGAAGCCCUCGUCCCUUACUCCCACCUCGAGGUGGAGCUCCUGAGAGACACAGGAUCUGUCCUGCCCUGAAGCUAGGAAGUGUUAUGUUGCCUCCCUUUCAAGUCCCACAGACCUUAUCACAGCUUAGUAACUCAAAAGGCUUCAAUACAUGAACUCCCCCCAAGGUACCAGCUCCCCAUCCCUCCUAGACUCAGAUUGCAUGGCCAUGCUAAGGUACCGCCACUUGGUGGCGGCAUUCUCCAAAUGGAAAAUAGUAUCUAAGUGCUAAAAAGACAAAGGCCUAAUCUUCUUUAGGGCAAGAUGUGUCAAUUUAUGCGAAAUCCAUGGGGAGUGGCCUCCACCCAGCCUGGUCUUCAUCUUCCUGUUCUGGACUAAAACCAAUGGGCGCAUUCUCAAAGUGCUGUACAAAGUGGGCUCCUUUGCUCUCGCUCUUGGAGCAACUCACUUGCCCGUCGGUCGGUCAC